UACGGGGGGGUAAGCGUUGUUCGGAAUUACUGGGCGUAAAGGGCUCGUAGGCGGCCAACUAAGUCAUACGUGAAAUCCCUCAGCUUAACUGGGGAACUGCGUGUGAUACUGGAUGGCUUGGAUUUGGGAGAGGGAUGCGGAAUUCCAGGUGUACGCGGUGAAAUGCGUAGAUAUCUGGAGGAACACCGGUGGCGAAGGCGGCAUCCUGGACCAAUAUUGGACGCUGAGGAGCGAAAGCCAGGGGAAGCCAAAGCGG
rnacentral:rRNA from 1 species